GGGGGCGGUGGCGGGCGGCGGAGCGCGGGGGCUGGUUCUCGGUCCCCGGGAGAAGCCAAGAAGCCUGCCAGAGCCGAGGUAGCUGCCCUGCCAAGAGCUAUCCUGGGAGAGCUAUUGAAAGAGCCUUGAGGGAGGGUCCAUAGCUUCCAGCAAAAUUUCAGAGCUUCUCGUGACCCUGAAAGGCGGAGGAAACUGAUCUAGACAAUCUCCACUUACAAGUCUGUACCUAAGCCCAGAGAGGGCAUGGGACUGGCUUAAGGGCCUACAGCAACGUAUGACCAGAGUGGGGGCCAGAAGCUGACUCAGAAGCCUUUACCACACCACAGUGCUGCGGUCCAUGGGAAAUCUGGGGUGGGGGUUAUGGAGUUGUGAUCACCAACCACCAAAGCCUGGAUUUAAAGUGAUUAGGGGCACCUGGGUGGCUCAGCGGGUUGGGUGUCUGACUUUGACUCAUGAUCUCUUGGUUCAUGGGUUCGAGCCCCA